UCCUACGGGACGCAGCAGUGGGGAAUAUUGCACAAUGGGGGAAACCCUGAUGCAGCGACGCCGCGUGAGUGAAGAAGUAUUUCGGUACGUAAAGCUCUAUCAGCAGGGAAGAAAUAAAGUCCUUUGGACUUUGGACGGUACCUGACUAAGAAGCCCCGGCUAACUACGUGCCAGCAGCCGCGGUAAUACGUAGGGGGCAAGCGUUAUCCGGAUUUACUGGGUGUAAAGGGAGCGUAGACGGCUUUGCAAGUCUGAAGUGAAAGCCCAGGGCUCAACCUUGGGACUGCUUUGGAAACUGUAUAGCU
rnacentral:rRNA from 1 species